rnacentral:rRNA from 1 species
UUUUUUUUUUUUUUUUUUUUUUUUUUUUUUUCAGAGACGCGGCGGCGUGCCUAAUACAUGCAAGUCGAACGAACUCUGGUAUUGAUUGGUGCUUGCAUCAUGAUUUACAUUUGAGUGAGUGGCGAACUGGUGAGUAACACGUGGGAAACCUGCCCAGAAGCGGGGGAUAACACCUGGAAACAGAUGCUAAUACCGCAUAACAACUUGGACCGCAUGGUCCGAGCUUGAAAGAUGGCUUCGGCUAUCACUUUUGGAUGGUCCCGCGGCGUAUUAGCUAGAUGGUGGGGUAACGGCUCACCAUGGCAAUGAUACGUAGCCGACCUGAGAGGGUAAUCGGCCACAUUGGGACUGAGACACGGCCCAAACUCCUACGGGAGGCAGCAGUAGGGAAUCUUCCACAAUGGACGAAAGUCUGAUGGAGCAACGCCGCGUGAGUGAAGAAGGGUUUCGGCUCGUAAAACUCUGUUGUUAAAGAAGAACAUAUCUGAGAGUAACUGUUCAGGUAUUGACGGUAUUUAACCAGAAAGCCACGGCUAACUACGUGCCAGCAGCCGCGGUAAUACGUAGGUGGCAAGCGUUGUCCGGAUUUAUUGGGCGUAAAGCGAGCGCAGGCGGUUUUUUAAGUCUGAUGUGAAAGCCUUCGGCUCAACCGAAGAAGUGCAUCGGAAACUGGGAAACUUGAGUGCAGAAGAGGACAGUGGAACUCCAUGUGUAGCGGUGAAAUGCGUAGAUAUAUGGAAGAACACCAGUGGCGAAGGCGGCUGUCUGGUCUGUAACUGACGCUGAGGCUCGAAAGUAUGGGUAGCAAACAGGAUUAGAUACCCUGGUAGUCCAUACCGUAAACGAUGAAUGCUAAGUGUUGGAGGGUUUCCGCCCUUCAGUGCUGCAGCUAACGCAUUAAGCAUUCCGCCUGGGGAGUACGGCCGCAAGGCUGAAACUCAAAGGAAUUGACGGGGGCCCGCACAAGCGGUGGAGCAUGUGGUUUAAUUCGAAGCUACGCGAAGAACCUUACCAGGUCUUGACAUACUAUGCAAAUCUAAGAGAUUAGACGUUCCCUUCGGGGACAUGGAUACAGGUGGUGCAUGGUUGUCGUCAGCUCGUGUCGUGAGAUGUUGGGUUAAGUCCCGCAACGAGCGCAACCCUUAUUAUCAGUUGCCAGCAUUAAGUUGGGCACUCUGGUGAGACUGCCGGUGACAAACCGGAGGAAGGUGGGGAUGACGUCAAAUCAUCAUGCCCCUUAUGACCUGGGCUACACACGUGCUACAAUGGAUGGUACAACGAGUUGCGAACUCGCGAGAGUAAGCUAAUCUCUUAAAGCCAUUCUCAGUUCGGAUUGUAGGCUGCAACUCGCCUACAUGAAGUCGGAAUCGCUAGUAAUCGCGGAUCAGCAUGCCGCGGUGAAUACGUUCCCGGGCCUUGUACACACCGCCCGUCACACCAUGAGAGUUUGUAACACCCAAAGUCGGUGGGGUAACCUUUUAGGAACCAGCCGCCUAAGGUGGGACAGAUGAUUAGGGUGAAGUCGAAAGAGGGGGGGAGAGAAAAAAA